rnacentral:rRNA from 1 species
AGCCAGCAGCCGCGGUAAUACGUAAGGGGCAAGCGUUGUUCGGAAUUAUUGGGCGUAAAGGGCGUGUAGGCGGAUCUGUAAGUCUGGUGUCAAAGAUCUCGGCUCAACCGAGGAAAGGCGCUGGAAACUGCGGAUCUGGAGUUCAGGAGGGGGAGCUGGAAUUCCUGGUGUAGGGGUGAAAUCUGUAGAUAUCAGGAAGAACACCGGUGGCGAAGGCGAGCUCCUGGCCAUGGACUGACGCUGAGGCGCGAAAGCGUGGGGAGCAAACAGGAUUAGAUACCCUGGUAGUCCACGCUGUAAACGAUGUGCACUAGGUGUGGGUGCUUUCGUAGGCAUCCGUGCCGUAGCCAACGCGAUAAGUGCACCGCCUGGGGAGUAUGCUCGCAAGGGUGAAACUCAAAGGAAUUGACGGGGGCCCGCACA